CUAAGCCUCGGGGGUAAAAAUAAAAUGUUUCCAUCCCCAGCCAAUCCCUGGAAAGGCAGAAGGGCACUCCUCCAAUGGGAGCCGGGGAGCCGUCGGUAGCGGCGUAGGCCCGUGCCCCUGCUCGCGCUGCAGCCCGUGGAAGGGUUCCGUCCAGCGUAUCCUUCAGAUCUUGCUGUAGGCCUCUGGUGUCUGUGCGCGCGCGGCAGGGGCGGCGGCGGCGACGGCCGGAGGUGUACGGUGUAAAUCCAAACCGCUUCCAACUCAAGGCAAGUAACAGCCCACGGUGUUCUGGCAGGAAAACAUCAGCUAAGAAAGGAAACUGGGUCCUAUGGCUUGGACUUUCCAACUCUGACAGACCGGCAGGACAGAAACAACUGGUUCAGGAGCCCUUGCCAGCCUCUAGAGAAAUCCCAGAACACUCAGCCCUGAUGACACAUUAAUACCCUGCACAUAUUGGAGACUGCUGACCACGCAUACUCACCAAGCCACAGACUUGUCUUCCACAAGCACGUUCUUACCUCAGCCACAAAGUGCCCAAGCCACAUGUACUAAAGGUUGAAAUCAGAGACAUGUACAGGGUAUUAAACAGAUACCAAGGGGAACAGUUAACUUGAAUAUAGCUUGAAUAGAAAGUCAAAAUCAGCAACAAGUCUACAAUCCAGUGCUGAUAUCAGAUACAAGCUUCAAGGACAACUUUCUGUGUAUGUUUUUUUUUUUUUUUUUGAGACGUAGUCUCGCCCUGUUGCCCAGGCUGGAGUGCAGUGGUGCAAUCUCGGCUCACCACAACCUCUGCCUCCCAGGUUCAAGUGAUUCUCCUGCCUCAGCCUCCCCAGUAGCUGGGAUUAUAGGCGAAUGCCACCAUGCCUGGCUAAUUUUUGUAUUUUUAGUAGAGACGGGGUUUCAGCAUGUUGGCCAGGCCGGUCUCAAACUCCUGACCUUGUGAUCCACCCGUCUCGGCCUCCCAAAGUGCUGGGAUUAUAGGCGUGAGCCACCACUUCUGGCCACAAAUUUCUUUUUGAAGGCUUAUUCCAGUUUUGUGAGGCUAGCAUGAGGUGUAUGCAUUUGCCAGGGGCAAAUUUAUACUGCUGAAUUAACCCAUGCAACAAAUGCUGCACAUCUGCUCGCAGUCCAUUUAGAGGCAUUUGCGGUAGACAAUGGAGGGGCCAGACUCAUCAUACAUACCUGAUGGCUAACCCACAUGCUUGCAGUCCAUUUAGAGGCAUUUGCAGUGGAUGAUGGAGGGGCCACAUACCUAAUUGCUAAUCCACAUCUGCUGGAAGGUGGACAGUGAGGCCAGGAUGGAACCACCAAUCCACACCGAGUACUUGUGCUCUGGGGGCAUGAUGAACUUGAUCUUCAUGGU
rnacentral:lncRNA from 10 species